rnacentral:misc_RNA from 1 species
GAACCAGAAGUGUCACAAACAACAGAACCGACCACUUUUAUCGAUAAUAAAAUGACAAUAUGUCCAGGUAAAAGCCAAGGGAGUGAUAGAAAAAUAAUGAGAAAGAAAAGAAUAAAUAAAAUAUGGGAAACUCACCAAACUGCCUCACCGCUUGUUUAAAUUUAAAAAUUGAAGCCCUUAUUUCACCCAAAAGAAAGCAUUUGAAAUAGAAGGAUGAAGUUUG